GACGAACGCUGGCGGCGCGCUUAACACAUGCAAGUCGAGCGAAGCGGCGGACGGGUGAGUAACACGUGAGUAACCUGCCUUAGACAUUGGGAUAGCCUCGGGAAACCGGGAUUAAUACCAAAUGGUCUAAGAUGGACUCGCGUCCCAUUAGCUAGUUGGUGGGUAACGGCCCACCAAGGAGACGGUGGUUAGCCGGCCUGGGAGGGUGAACGGCCAUCGUGGGACGGAGAGACGGUCCAAACUCCACGGUAGGCAGCAGUGGUGAAUAUGGCACAACGGAGGGAACUCUGAUGCAGUGAGGCCGCGUGAACGAAGAAGGCGUUCGAGGCGUAAAGUUCUUUUAUAUGGGAAGCGGUACCAUAAGAAAAAGCCCCGGCUAACUACGUGCCAGCAGCCGCGGUAAUUC
rnacentral:rRNA from 1 species